GGAUAGGUAGGAUGUGGUCGCUCCUGUUAAAGGGAGAGGAAAGUCCGGGCUCCAAAGGAUAGCGUAACAGGUUAACACCUGCCACUCGAAUAUUUUUUCGGGUAGGAUAAGAGCCACAGAGACGAUUAUUCGAUAUGGGGUCAGAAUUAAUUCUGACCCCAUAUCGAAGAGGUGAAACGAGGCAAUCUCUACGCGGAGCAAGGCAAAAUAGGAGAUAAGUGUCUAUCCGACACGUUAUUAAUCUCGGGUAAUAAGCUGCUAGAGUAGCGGCGGUAACGCCGAUAUCGAGAGGAAUGAUCACUAAUCGAUGCGUAUACUCGUAUCAAGACAGAACCCGGCUUAUCCUACUUAUCCUAUA
rnacentral:RNase_P_RNA from 1 species